UGGGGAAUAUUGCACAAUGGGCGCAAGCCUGAUGCAGCCAUGCCGCGUGUGUGAAGAAGGCCUUCGGGUUGUAAAGCACUUUCAGCGGGGAGGAAGGCGAUAAGGUUAAUAACCUCAUCGAUUGACGUUACCCGCAGAAGAAGCACCGGCUAACUACGUGCCAGCAGCCGCGGUAAUACGUAGGUGGCAAGCGUUGUCCGGAUUUAUUGGGCGUAAAGCGAGCGCAGGCGGUUUCUUAAGUCUGAUGUGAAAGCCCCCGGCUCAACCGGGGAGGGUCAUUGGAAACUGGGAGACUUGAGUGCAGAAGAGGAGAGUGGAAUUCCAUGUGUAGCGGUGAAAUGCGUAGAUAUAUGGAGGAACACCAGUGGCGAAGGCGGCUCUCUGGUCUGUAACUGACGCUGAGGCUCGAAAGCGUGGGGAGCAAACAGG
rnacentral:rRNA from 1 species